rnacentral:tRNA from 2 species
GCGGACAUGGCGGAAUUGGCAGACGCACUAGAUUUAGGAUCUAGCGGGAAACCGUGGGGGUUCAAGUCCCUUUGUCCGCACCA